UCGCACCCGGAUUUUUCUCCCAGAAUAGGAUGCUCCGCAGCCGAACUGCAGGCCGGCGGCAUUACGUAACGGCAGGACACAAAGCGACGGCACGGCAGCUUCCAGCGCGUGCAGAAUGGAGAUAUCUACAGAAACCCCCAGCCUCGAUGCUUCAGAGAGCACAAUAGACCCAGGAAUCGCUCUCAGCAGGUACUGGCCAGAGAUCUAUUACAUUUCUUAUAUCUGGUUUCUGGACCUGAAGUUCAAUCUCAAGAGAAGUUCGGAAGCUUUUUUUCUCCAAAGUUUUCAUUUCAUCUUUUUU